CCACCCGUUUUUGUGGCCUUUUUCCCCUGGACGAAAUUGGCGCCCCGGCCUUCGGGCUGUUAUUUUGGGGCACAGCUGUGUCCGCGGCCUAUUUUUCGCACGCGGAGGUGCCUCGCAAAGUCUCGCGCCGUUCCGAGUCCGGCGGACGAAGUUGGCCAGCCGCACCCCCCAAGGCUAUAGCCCACCCGUUUUUGUGGCCUUUUUCCGCUGGACGAACUUGGCGCCCCGGCCUUCGGGGGGUUAUUUUUGGGCGCGGCUGUGCCCGCGGCCUAUUUUUGGCACACGAAGGCGCCUCGCAAAGUCUCCUGCCAUUCCAAGUCCGGCGGACGAAGUUGGCCAGCCCCACCCCCCAAGGCUAUAGCCCACCCGUUUUUGUGGCCGUUUUCCGCUGGACGAACUUGGCGCCCGACCUUCGGACGGUUAUUUUUGGUCGCGGCUGUGCCCACGGCCUAUUUUUGGCACACGGAGGUUCCUCGCAAAGUCUCGCACCAUUCCCAGUCUGGCGGACGAAGUUGGCCAGCCCCACCCCCCAAGGCUAUAGCCCACACGUUUUUGUGGCCUUUUUCCGCUGGACGAACUUGGCGCUACAGCCUUCGGGCAUUUAUUUUUGGGCGCGGCUGUGCCCGUGGCCUAUUUUUGGCACACGGAGGCGCCUCGCAAUGUCUCGCGCCAUUCCGAGUCCGGCGGACGAAGUUGGCCAGCCCCACCGCCCAAGGCUAUAGCCCACCCGUUUUUGUGGCCUUUUUCCGCUGGACGAACUUGGCGCCCCGGCCUUCGGACGGUUAUUUUUGGUCGCGGCUGUGCCCGCGGCCUUUUAUUAGCACACGGAGGCACCUCGCAAAGGCUCGCACCAUACCGAGUCCGGCAGACGAAGUUGGCCAUCCCCACCCCUCAAGGCUAUAGCCCACCCGUUUUCGUGGACUUUUUCCGCUGGACGAACUUGGCGGCCCGGUCUUCGGGCAGUUAUUGUUGCACGCUCCUGUGUCCGCGGCAUAUUUUUGGCACACGGAGGCGCCUUGCAAAGUCUCGCGCCAUUCGGAGUCCGGCGGACGAAGUUGGCGAGCCCCACCCCCCAAGGCUAUAGCCCACCCGUUUUUGAGGCCUUUUUCCCCUGGACGAACUUGGCGCCCCGGCCUUCGGGCUGUUAUUUUUGGGCACAGCUGUGUCCGCGGCCUAUUUUUGGCAGCUUCCAGUACCUCGCAAAGUCUCGCGCCGUUCCGAGUCCGGCGGACGAAGUUGGCCAGCCCCACCCCCCAAGGCUAUAGCCCACCCCGUUUUUGUGGCCUUUUUCCG
rnacentral:lncRNA from 1 species